GGCACCCUCGCUUCUUUGUGUGAGCACCGCCUGCAGCGCAGUGCAACGUCCCCUCCGCAGCCUUGUGCCUUAGUGAAGAAACUACCCCAAAUAGUUUCUUGCUGCAUCAUGCUGUGCUGCGUGCUUUCUGGUGGUGACCCUGACCUUUGCUGGGAUGGUAGUUAAAACAUUUAUGUGACAGAAGACGUUUUCUGUGUAUGACUUCAAAAACAAGGGGAAAGCAUCUGACAUCAAACAACAUCAUCAGUGCUGCUGACAUCAGGCACUGAGUUACACCGUCUGGGCUGCAGAGAUGCGAUUAAUCUUGUUUGCUGUUAACCAGGUGAACGCAGUCAGGAGCACAACAGUGAGCAAGCUGAAGAUUAGGGAGGAAUAUGAAGAAAAUUUGGAAGGUUUGAGUUUUUGAAAACAAAUAUUUCAUCUGGACUGGAGAGCAUCUGAGUGAGGACCUGAAGGAAGGAUUCCUGCCCAGCAUAAGUGGUGCCACAUUUAUCCAGUGGCAUCCUGACCUAUUCCUGUAGAGAAGGCAAUGAGACAAAUCAGUGGAAGAUGUAUAGAGGGAUAUUUG